rnacentral:rRNA from 1 species
CCUACGGGAGGCUGCAGUGGGGAAUCUUGCACAAUGGGGGAAACUCUGAUGCAGCGACGCCGCGUGAGUGAAGAAGUAUUUCGUUACGUAAAGCUCUAUUAGCAGGGAAGAACAUGACGGUUCCUGAGUAAGAAGCCCCUGCUAACUACGUGCCAGAAGCCGCGGUAAUACGUAGGGGGCACGCGUUAUCCGGAGUUACUGGGUGUAAGGGGAGCGUAGUUGGUAGUGCAAGUCUGAUGUGAAAGGCGGGGGCUCAAACGGCGGGGGGAUCUGGAGACUGGACGGCUGGAGUGCAGAAGAGGUGAGUGGAAUUCCUGGUGUAGCGGUGAAAUGCGUAGAUAUAAGGAGGAACACCAGUGGCGAAGGCGGCUGACUGGACUGUAACUGACGUUGAGGCUCGAAAGCGUGGGGAGCAAACAGGAUUAGAUACCCUUGUAGUC